AAUGUCACAGGGUAAUAAUCAAUUUGGAAACUUAUUGGACUGUGCAAAUUUAUUAUUUCAGUGAGCCACUUUGCUUUGUGCCUAAUGCAGGUUAAUCUUGUGGCAUACUGCCAGUAGGAGAGAUGGUAAAGGAGGGGAAUUCAGAUGAGAAGCAGAGAUGGCAAUACCUUGGCACAUUUUUUUGUUGGUUCAGAUCGGUUUAUAAAAUUCAAGGUGUCACACUCCUAGUUUCAGAGAGUGGCAAGGAAGAAAGUUGACUUUAAUUACCAAAGGUCCAAGGCAUACUGAAGAGGAUGUGAUUUUAAUAAUGAAAAACUUGACCUGAAGAAAUGAUAGUUAAGCUACUCAAAAUACUUCAGCAAGGACAAAAUUCAUUACCAAUGUGAGUGAAGUAAUGCUUAUCCAGCUCUGUUGCAUCCAUCCACAAAACGUUAGUCAUCUCAGAAGACAACAAAAAGAUGUUUGAGAGAAGAAUUUGUCGAAGAGGAAUAAAACCAACAACACUCACCAAACAUUUACUAGUCAGGAAGGGAAAUCUGCAGCCUGCUGCUGAGCAGUGAGAAGACCCAUUUCUGUUGUGUGACCAUGUACAGGGCCUGUCAAAGUUACAACUAUGGGAGGGUCUCCAAAAACACAUCAUCCGCAUAAAGCAGGUGACUCCUGUGUAUAUGCAGGAAAGUACUGUGACAUUUCAAAGAUGUGUAGAUGAUGGUUCAUGCUGCUUGAUGGAGACCACUGAACAAUGUCAGUAGAAGUGUAAACCUGAAACGUUCUUGUGGAGACUGAUCUGGUUAAGUUGCAUAAUAUUAUUCACUUAGGCCACAAAUUUGGUGGAACAUAUUGUCUAGAAAGGGCUAAUCUAUUUUUCCAAACCCUGUGAAACGAAUUACUCUCAUCACUUGAAAAUAUUGCUGUUCAGCAUUCCCUUGAACCCUUUGAAGGCUUCUCUGCUCGGACUGUGUGUCCAGCAUCUGUCUUUUUACUGUGGUCCUUGAUCUAGACUAUGGCCUGUAUAAAAUCCUACCAAAUCUCAGCAGCCGGUUUGUAAAUCUGCAAAUGGAAAUGAGUAACCAAGUUUCGCUACUGAGAUCAUUCAUGUCUUUCAUAAACAUUCAGCAGAUAGUGAGUUUAUCUUGUUGUAUUGUCUUGGAGGAACAUUUAUCUAUUCAUACUUGUCUAAAACAUUUCAAAAGUAUUUUUGAAGAUUGUAACAGAAAGAUGUUGACUUACCUAAAAAAUGAAAUUGAUAUUUCUGAAGUAAAAUAUUUACUUUUCUCUUAUGUCUCCUAUGUCAUCUUUUGCCUCUCCAUUGACAAUCUUUUGUACCCAUUAUAGAGUGGUUUCUGAAACAUGCUGAUGUUCACUAGCUGAAAGGAAUUAAUGCUUCCUGGACUUUUCAGCCACAUGUUCCAGCUGAAAUUGAGAAUGUUCAUAUGGAAAGUAUCGAGAUUUAAUUACAAUAGCCAAGUACAAUCCCUUAAACUUAUUCAUUUAUCUUCAGCCUAGAUUGAUCAUAUACUGUGUAUAUGCAGGAAAGUACUGUGACAUAAUGCAAUGCAAUCUGCUUAAUAUUCACAUAUUCCGAAUGGUAUCCACACUGAUGUUGAGCAUUUUGUCCCUAUUUUUAUGGAGAAAUUGCUUAUUGUUGAGCAAGUUCCUCUGGCACUAGUGGACUUUCAAAAUUUCACUCAAAUGAUUUUUUCACAGGUGAGCCUAAAUAUUUUUGGUCAACAGACUGUUCUGCCUUGGAGGCCAUCACAUUUGAGUUGGAUUCUUUCUUGCCAGACAUUUGUACCAGCGUACUUUCUAUUGGAUAUAUCUGAAAGUAACUAGAAAAACAAACCUAGUUGAUUAUUGUCCCCUCCUGUCUCCCUAGCCCGUGGGUGCUUAGACCAAUAGUGGUAACCCGGUUGAGAUAAGAUAAAAGAUCACAGACUUUUGAAUUGAACCUGGCACCUCUGUCUGUAUAGCUUAGGUGUCUGUUAAACUUUUUUUUUCUGAUUUUUAGAAAAAGUUAAUUUCUAACAUGGAGUUUAUCCACUGUUGUAGAUUAAUAUUAGGUAUGAAUGUGAUGUAUGGCAUACUACUUAGAAUUUGCAGAAUGCCGAUAGCCAGUGGUAUCUUGACCAUUGGACCAAAAUGGUAGUGAAGAUUUAUGGCUGUGCAAAUUUGUCAAAAAGAUGUAAGAAACUCCCAAAUGCUUAAGCUUCUGUUUUUGGCAUGGGUGCAAAUUCGCAAUAUAAUUUUUCUUAAUUUCAAUAAUUUUAAAAUGCUUAAGAUAAUUGCUUGCUAUUUGUGAAUGAGUCAUAACUGUAAAUCAUAUGUGAAAUUUUUUCUAAAAUUUAUAUCUGUGCUGCAACCUUGAUUAAUUUGCCCAAUAUUACAGGGACAUUGUAUUCAUGUAAAAGUGUUUUUUGUUUAUGGAAGGAACAGACCCAUAUGUAAUUUUUGUUGCAAGUGGCAGAUCGACAUGCCUCAGCAGGAUUUAUAUAAUUGUAGUGUGUGUUUAUAA